AAAUCUCUUUCUUAUACUUAUGCUUUUUGAUUGAAAAAUAACAUCAACAAAAAUGCUGAUUAUAUUAAGGUUCUUAUUUAAAAUAAGAUCAAACAAAAUAAGAUAAAAAUUCAGUUACACUUUGAUUGAAAGUUAAUCAAGGUUUGCAUAUAUUUAUUUAUAACUAGUAUGUUAAAUAAUUACAAUGAAAAUGUUUUUAUUACAUAUUUAUUUGAUUCCAAAUUCCAGAACAUGUUAUAAAUGAAUGUUGAUGUAACAGUUGCUAGGGUUUGCAUUCUUGUGAGAGCUGAAGGAACUACUCAUCUACAUAGUGCUCCAUGGGUUCCUUCCCAUACAGGAUUAAAUUGGUUUAGGCUAUUAAGGAGAUUUUGACCGAGUUUGGUAUUGCUGAUUAUGUAAGAAUGGUUUUCUUUGACACUACUGCUACCAAUACUGGAAUAACUUGUUGUGCUAUAUGCAGGUAAACAAUUUUUUUUAAUAAUUCAAAAAAAGAACUCUGAGAGCUAAUACAACAAACUAUUCAUUAAUGGCUUCAAAUUUAUUAGAUUGAGUUUUAGAUAUAUUCUUGGAACAUUAUGAGUCAGUUACCAUAUAUUCUUGGAACAUUAUGAGUCAGUUACCAUAGGUCAGCAGACCUGGCGAUGUACUUUUGUUGAUGUUGAUAAUGACACAGUUCAUUGAUCACUUCAAUUCGCAACAGAUUUGUCAUUCUUAGUUUAAAGAACAAGCAGAUGAGGCAAGAAAUCUUUUUAUAACACUUGUUAAUGAAGGUGUUUUCAAAUAUUUUUAGGAACCAACAUUCAAGCAUCUCAACAUUCACAAGCCUGGGGCAGUAAACCAUACACGGUUUAUGGCAGUAAGUAUUUACUGAUCUGAAGAGUUCGCAAUGUCAUGCUUCCUUAUAAUUUGACAAAGCAAAUCCUGAACUUGAGACAAAAGGAAGAUAAAGAAUG